AUGUCAAAAAAGGCCAUCCGUGCUUCUUUCCUCAUGGAGGCUCAGUGUGCAAUGGCUGCAAACAGCAGCCUCCUUGGCAGUAUAUGCAGCCUGUUGCUUGUAUGGAUUGAUCUAAGGGAUGUUGAAGACAGUC
ensembl:snoRNA SNORA70 Small nucleolar RNA SNORA70